UGGGGAAUAUUGCACAAUGGGGGAAACCCUGAUGCAGCGACGCCGCGUGAAGGAAGAAGUAUCUCGGUAUGUAAACUUCUAUCAGCAGGGAAGAUAGUGACGGUACCUGGCUAAGAAGCCCCGGCUAACUACGUGCCAGCAGCCGCGGUAAUACGUAGGGGGCAAGCGUUAUCCGGAUUUACUGGGUGUAAAGGGAGCGUAGACGGCUGUGCAAGUCUGAUGUGAAAGGCAGGGGCUCAACUCCUGGACUGCAUUGGAAACUGUGUAGCUUGAGUGCCGGAGAGGUAAGCGGAAUUCCUAGUGUAGCGGUGAAAUGCGUAGAUAUUAGGAGGAACACCAGUGGCGAAGGCGGCCUGCUGGACUGUAACUGACGUUGAGGCUCGAAAGCGUGGGGAGCAAACAGGAUUAGAUACC
rnacentral:rRNA from 1 species